UACGAAGGGGGCUAGCGUUGUUCGGAAUUACUGGGCGUAAGGCGUAUGCAGGCGGAUCUCUAAGUCGGGGGUGAAAUCCUGAGGCUCAACCUCAGAACUGCCUUCGAUACUGGAGAUCUUGAGUCCGGGAGAGGUGAGUGGAACUGCGAGUGUAGAGGUGAAAUUCGUAGAUAUUCGCAAGAACACCAGUGGCGAAGGCGGCUCACUGGCCCGGUACUGACGCUGAGAUACGAAAGCGUGGGGAGCAAACAGG
rnacentral:rRNA from 1 species